UAAAAGAUAAGCUAAGUUUAAGCUAAUGGGUUCAUACCUCAUUUAUGGAUUAUCCCUCUUUUUA
rnacentral:tRNA from 1 species